AAGGGGUGAAAAGAUAUCAUGGAGAGAAAUCAGCCUCAACAUUGAAAAGUGCCCAGGGCCCUGUGAGUGCAGCAUUUUAAAAGGAACAAAUAAGAAUCUGCUUCGAGUGAACUGCGAAGGGAAAGAAUUGAUGUCAUUUCCAUGGAAAAUUCCCCUUGCAACAGCAGACUUAGACUUGAGUAACAACAAGCUGAACCACUUCCCAUCGGAUGUUUUCAGGAACAAUACCCAUCUGAGGCGGCUGUAAGCUGAUGUUAAACAAAUCCCUCUAUUGUGUAUAUUUCACUUAAGCGCAACGAUAUCGUAACAGGGUGGACUAUCAGUGAUGUGUUGAAUAAUAAAUAAACAAGUUUGUUGGUUGUUUUCAUAACCUUUUGCCCAAAAAGGCUUUAAUUCUUUUUUGGGCGUAGAAAUAUUUAACGCUAGAAGAAG